CUUGAUAUGUUUGAGAUUUUUAAUUUUAAAACUUUGUGAAUAAAAUGCCAGUAACGAAUAUAAAAAGUGUUAUUAAUCAUCUAUGCAAAUUACUAGAUGCGUUGUUUAAAAUUAACAUUAAACCAGAAUAUUUCCGUUUAGCAAAGUUUAAUACUAAAGAAGAAAAUGUUUGUUUACUUAUGUGGAUUACAUUGCAAAAAUUGUUAAAUUUGGAUGGUGAUGUCACUUUAGAUACAAUAAAACUCCAUUUACAAAAUUUGGGUUAUAAGCGUUCACAGUUUUUCCAUUCCUUUCAUAAAGCGGACUAUGGAAGUCGAGAACUGCUAAUUGUCUUGGGUUUUUUGUUGGCAACCAAUUUAAAAAACUUUAUUCAAAACGAGAUUGAUACAUCAGUAUUUUGUGAAACAUACUUUAAACAAGCAAAUCCAGUCCAUAUUGAUGAGUACAAUAAGCCUUUGGUCAUAAAAGAUCCCAAAGAACACAACAAAUAUAAAAACUGGUUGCUUGGAAAAAUUGCUUUUAACAAAAAUAUGCAUGAAGAGUAUAGUUCUCAAGCAACAAAAAUUUACACAAAGUUAAACAAAACAUAUAAUAUGAAAGCUACAGGGGGUCUCACAAUAUUUGAAUUGUUAGCUUUAACGGACUGUGCAGCAAGGGAUGAAUUUCUCAAAAAAGCAAAUUUGACACUCUCAAUAUUGAAAGCGUAUUGCGAAUGGUUAAAUAAAGAGAAAUAUUUUUGGAAAUGGAUGCAAUCCGUUUUAGAAGAAGAUGGAAAAAUUGAAUCCAAAUAGGUCAAAUAACAACAAAACUGUUUUAAAGUUUUAUUUACCAAUUACAAUAUAGGUUAUGAUAGUUAAAACAAG